AACGCUGGCGGCAGGCUAACACAUGCAUGUCGAACGGAUCCUUCGGGAUUAGUGGCAGACGGGUGAGUAACGCGUGGGAAGCUACCUUGUGGUAGGGGACAACAGUUGGAAACGACUGCUAAUACCCUAUGAGCCCUAUGGGGGAAAGAUUUAUCGCCAUGAGAUGUGCCCGCGUUAGAUUAGCUAGUUGGUAAGGUAAUGGCUUACCAAGGCGACGAUCUAUAGCUGGUCUGAGAGGAUGAUCAGCCACACUGGGACUGAGACACGGCCCAGACUCCUACGGGAGGCAGCAGUGGGGAAUAUUGGACAAUGGGGGCAACCCUGAUCCAGCCAUGCCGCGUGUGUGAUGACGGCCUUAGGGUUGUAAAGCACUUUCAGCAGUGAAGAUAAUGACAUUAACUGCAGAAGAAGCCCCGGCUAACUUCGUGCCAGCAGCCGCGGUAAUACGAAGGGGGCUAGCGUUGUUCGGAAUCACUGGGCGUAAAGAGUACGUAGGCGGACUGAUAAGUUAGGGGUGAAAUCCCAAGGGCUCAACCUUGGAACUGCCUUUGAUACUGUCAAGUCUUGAGAUCGAGAGAGGUGAGUGGAACUCCGAGUGUAGAGGUGAAAUUCGUAGAUAUUCCGGAAGAAACCACCCAGUGGGCGAAAGGGCGGGCUUCCACUGGGGCUCGGAUACUGGAACGCUGAAGUAACGAAAAGGCGUUGGGGGAGCCACAACAGGGAUUUAGAUAACCCUUGGGGUAGGUCCCACGCCGGUAACGAUGAAAUGCUAGUGUCAAGGGUAAGCUUGGCAAUUGGUGAACACCCAGCUAACGCAUAAGGCAUUCCGCUUGGGGGAAUUACCGGCCGCAGAAUUA
rnacentral:rRNA from 1 species